UACAGAGGUCUCAAGCGUUGUUCGGAUUCAUUGGGCGUAAAGGGUGCGUAGGCGGCGCGGUAAGUCGGGUGUGAAAUCUCGGAGCUUAACUCCGAAACUGCAUUCGAUACUGCCGUGCUUGAGGACUGGAGAGGAGACUGGAAUUUACGGUGUAGCGGUGAAAUGCGUAGAUGUCGUAAGGAAGACCAGUGGCGAAGGCGGGUCUCUGGACAGUUCCUGACGCUGAGGCACGAAAGCGUGGGGAGCAAAAGGG
rnacentral:rRNA from 1 species